GUUCUGGGCAGGAGGCCGCCGAUCCAAGUCAACAGGUCAGGCUGGAGUUCCACACAACAUCGGGCGUGCUGCCCUGUGCAAACCCAGUGACUCUGUAACAGUCCAACCCUUGGCCUCUGGGUCAGUCUGACUAAAACAGUAAUUAUGGCUCAAAACAAAAAAGCAUGUUACCACCCAACUUCGCCACUUGAAAUGAAACUGGAAAAACAUCCUCAAAACACAGGACUCAAGAUGGCGCUGUGAGAACAACCCAGGAUUGGAGCUCUUCUCGUUGAAUCUGCAAACGGUGAGUCAGAGCGGCAUUUCCAGACUGAUCUUUGUUGCCCACAGAACGGGGAAACUCCCAAGUAUAAAAAAGACAUGGGACGCCAGGCAGUAGGUCUGCCUGGCGAAGCCGGCAGC
rnacentral:lncRNA from 1 species